rnacentral:rRNA from 1 species
GACGAACGCUGGCGGCGUGCUUAACACAUGCAAGUCGAACGGAAAGGCCCUGCUUUUGUGGGGUGCUCGAGUGGCGAACGGGUGAGUAACACGUGAGUAACCUGCCCUUGUCUUUGGGAUAACUUCAGGAAACUGGGGCUAAUACCGGAUAGGAGCUCCUGCUGCAUGUUGGGGGUUGGAAAGUUUCGGCGGUUGGGGAUGGACUCGCGGCUUAUCCGCUUGUUGGUGGGGUAGUGGCUUACCAAGGCUUUGACGGGUAGCCGGCCUGAGAGGGUGACCGGCCACAUUGGGACUGAGAUACGGCGCAGACUCCUACGGGAGGCAGCAGUGGGGAAUAUUGCACAAUGGGCGGAAGCCUGAUGCAGCAACGCCGCGUGCGGGAUGACGGCCUUCGGGUUGUAAACCGCUUUCGACUGUGACGAAGCGUGAGUGACGGUAAUGGGUAAAGAAGCACCGGCUAACUACGUG